rnacentral:lncRNA from 1 species
UGAUUGGAAGCCAUCAUAUUGUGAGAAGUGUCUGAUGGUGGGACAUAACUGUUUGGCUAAAAUAGCCCCCUCAGUCAAGCCUAGAAUGACACAGGAAUGGAGAGUUAAGGCUCCAGCUCCUGUGGUCCAGGGCAGUCAGGGAAAUCAAAUCCAGCAACCAGACAAUACAAAACAACCAAGACCCCAUGAUGGUGUAGAGGAACAGUUGAACAAGCAGAAGGGUGUUGUUACACAGAUGUCUCCAGUAUUUAACAUCACAAAUUUUCCACCAUUAUCCCCUAUUGUGAUGUCUAAUAGAUUUGAAGUUGGAACAGUGAGUUGGGCAGAUCACCCCCUAGAUAAAGGGGGAACCAGCUAUGGCCAAUGAAGUGAUUAAUUUGGAAUAUAAG